rnacentral:rRNA from 1 species
GUAAAGUGAAUUAUAAUUGUACGACGUGUUGAAUACAAAAGUUAUUUGUCUAGGGGGCAACCCACCAAGAAACAGAAGACCAAAGACAAGGGAAUAUUCAGAAGGCGAACCCCAGAGUUCCAGCCCCCUUCCUUGGGGUUCGGCUUUUUCCGUUUUGUAACGGUUAGUCACACACAACCUAAAGGGCGGCGGGACCUCUCGGGGUUACAGCCUUGCUGAAUUAUUCACCCUUGUCUUUUGCGUACUUCUUGUUUCCUUGGUGGGUUCGCCCACCACUAGGACAAACAUAAACCUUUUGUAAUUGCAAUCAGCGUCAGUAACAAAUUAAUAAUUACAACUUUCAACAACGGAUCUCUUGGUUCUGGCAUAGAUGAAGAACGCAGCGAAAUGCGAUAAGUAGUGUGAAUUGCAGAAUUCAGUGAAUCAUCGAAUCUUUGAACGCACAUUGCGCCCUUUGGUAUUCCAAAGGGCAUGCCUGUUCGAGCGUCAUUUGUACCCUCAAGCUUUGCUUGGUGUUGGGCGUCUUGUCUCUAGCUUUGCUGGAGACUCGCCUUAAAGUAAUUGGCAGCCGGCCUACUGGUUUCGGAGCGCAGCACAAGUCGCACUCUCUAUCAGCAAAGGUCUAGCAUCCAUUAAGCCUUUUUUUCAACUUUGACCUCG